rnacentral:rRNA from 1 species
CGAGCGAAGUCUUCGGACUUAGCGGCGGACGGGUGAGUAACGCGUGGGAACAUACCCUUUGGUACGGAAUAGCCUCGGGAAACUGGGAGUAAUACCGCAUACGCCCUACGGGGGAAAGAAGGCCUCUCUUUGAAGCUUUCGCUACUAGAUGAGCCUGCGUAAGAUUAGCUUGUUGGUGAGGUAAAGGCUCACCAAGGCGACGAUCUUUAGCGGGUCUGAGAGGACGAUCCGCCACAUUGGGACUGAGACACGGCCCAGACUCC